UUGGUUAUGGCCUCCAACUUUAAGAAGGGUAACAUGACAUCAAGUGCCCAGCGAAAAAGGAUGAGUCCUAAGCCUGAGCUUACUGAAGAGUAGAAACAGGAAAUCCAGAAAGCUUUUGAUCUCUUUGAUGCUGAUGGAACUGGGACCAUAGAUGCUAAGGAACUUAAGGUGGCAAUGAGGGCCCUGUGCUUUGAACCCAAGAAAGAAGAAAUCAAGAAGAUGAUAAGUGAAAUUGAUAAGGAAGGGACAGGGAAAAUGAAUUUUAGUGAUUUUUUGACUGUAAUGACUCAGAAAAUGUCUGAGAAAGAUACCAAAGAAGAAAUCCUGAAGGCUUUCAAGCUCUUUGAUGAUGAUGAAACUGGGACUAUAUCAUUCAAAAACCUGAAAGGUGUGGCCAAGGAGUUGGGCGAGAACCUGACUGAUGAGGAGCUGCAGGAAAUGAUUGAUGGAGCUGACCGAGAUGGAGAUGGUGAAGUCAACGAGCAGGAGUUCCUGUGCAUCAUGAAGAAGACCAGCCUGUACUGAGGUCGGCAUCUUCCACUGCGAGCACAUGCAGCGACAGUAGUGCCUGCCAUUGUGUGAGAUUUGGCUUUUGAGAACCCAAACUAUUUUUCCCUCAUUGACCUCCCUGUAUGAGUUUAGUAGUGACCUCGAAUCUAUUUUAGACUUUUUGGGGAAGUGUUCUUUGAUAUUACAG